rnacentral:rRNA from 1 species
GACGAACGCUGGCGGCGUGCUUAACACAUGCAAGUCGAACGGAAAGGCCCUGCUUUUGUGGGGUGCUCGAGUGGCGAACGGGUGAGUAACACGUGAGUAACCUGCCCUUGACUUUGGGAUAACUUCAGGAAACUGGGGCUAAUACCGGAUAGGAGCUCCUGCUGCAUGGUGGGGGUUGGAAAGUUUCGGCGGUUGGGGAUGGACUCGCGGCUUAUCAGCUUGUUGGUGGGGUAGUGGCUUACCAAGGCUUUGACGGGUAGCCGGCCUGAGAGGGUGACCGGCCACAUGGGGCUGGGGGAGCGGCCCGGACCGCUUCGGGCGGCAGGGGCGGGAAUUUUUCCCAACGGGGCGGCGCCAGUGCACAAGACCGCCGCGUGGGGGAUGGCGGCUUUCGGGUUAGAACCCGUUUUCGCCUGGGACGAAGCGUGGGUGCGGUUAAUGGUCAAAGAACCCCCGCUAACUUCCUU